rnacentral:lncRNA from 1 species
AUGGACCCCAAGAGCCUAACUCCCCGGGGCUCUCCCCACACCCAUCAGCAUCAAACCUGCCUGAUGGGUCCUUCUCACAGCCCGGAAUGGGCCCCAGACACAGAUGAUGACAAGGUCUCACAGUGCCGAAGGCUGCCGCCCCAGUGUGGCCACUCUCGAGACCCAGUGAUCUCCCAUGGACCAUGGAGGCAGGGGAAAGGAUUGAUGCCCAAAGCAGGAAAGUUUUCCCAUUCUCAGUCUUCUGGAGCUAGUACCACCCCACUGCUUCACCAUGAGACCUUUUUCUACCUUGGCCAAAAGCCUCAAAGCUCAAGGAACAGUGAGGAUGCAGAGUCCCAAUCUGCCAGAGAUAUUCAGAAGCCAAGCCAGGUUUUCCUCUCUCCCCUCCCUAUUCUUCAUCCCCAAGAUGCCCAUGUGGUAUAUGAUGCCAGGAAGAUGAAAGGCCCAAAUUGCCAGGUGGGAGGAUUUGUGGAAGCUUUGUCCCUUUCCACACGGAAAGGCUCCCUACAAGAGCUCAGUGAAAGGGGCCAAAAUCUCAUCUCCCAGACCCUGGAGAGGCCCUCCAAUCUGCCCACUUUCCCUGUUGACCACUCUGUGGAGUAUAUAGAGUAUAAGAAGCAGACAGUCAGCUUUCCUGAAGGAAGGAACCAGGGCACGCUCUCCUGCAAAUCCAAGUCCCACACUGAUAAAGGUCAUUCUGAAAGGAAGAUGCUACUUCCCCCAAAUUCUGUCUGUUUACAGCCAUCUGACUACCCCACUUGUCCCAGCAGUAGUUCUACCCCUUCCCAGUCACCCUGUCCUUCUGAAAUCCCGUUACCUGACCAGAUUGCAUUGCACCAACAGCAGCCUUCAAAGGUUCUUAUAGAACCUCUCGAAGUUUCAAAGGGUGAGAUGGCUUGUGGUAUACAGAAACUACCAGAGGUCUCCACUUUCACUCAGACCCAUUACCCCCAAGGAUGGAAUCAAAAUUGGGUGUACAAGUCUCUGGAAAUGUCCACGCAGAAUCGGCCAUCCUUCCAUCAGAUGCCUCCAAGCAAGGGAUCUGGUUUGGAGACAGGUCAUGUGGUCUUUGAUGCCAGGCAGCUCAGACUAAACAAGGAAUAUGCCAGAGACUAUGCCCUCAGGACCUCCUGUGGCCCUAAAACCCUCUCUGACUGUCCCAGGGAAAGGCAGAGGGAAGACUUGGAAUACUGGUCCAUGACAAAGACUUGGGGGAAAGCUCGGCAAUAA